GGUGGGGUAACGGCCUACCAAGGUGAUGGUACGUAGCCGAACUGAGAGGUUGAUCGGCCACAUUGGGACUGAGACACGGCCCAAACUCCUACGGGAGGCAGCAGUAGGGAAUCUUCCACAAUGGACGAAAGUCUGAUGGAGCAACGCCGCGUGAAUGAAGAAGGCCUUCGGGUCGUAAAAUUCUGUUGUCAGAGAAGAACGUGCGUGAGAGUAACUGUUCACGUAUUGACGGUAUCUGACCAGAAAGCCACGGCUAACUACGUGCCAGCAGCCGCGGUAAUACGUAGGUGGCGAGCGUUGUCCGGAUUUAUUGGGCGUAAAGGGAACGCAGGCGGUCUUUUAAGUCUGAUGUGAAAGCCUUCGGCUUAACCGAAGUAGUGCAUUGGAAACUGGAAGACUUGAGUGCAGAAGAGGAGAGUGGAACUCCAUGUGUAGCGGUGAAAUGCGUAGAUAUAUGGAAGAGCACCAGUGGCGAAAGCGGCUCUCUGGUCUGUAACUGACGCUGAGGUUCGAAAGCGUGGGUAGCAAACAGGAUUAGAUACCCUGGUAGUCCACGCCGUAAACGAUGAGUGCUAAGUGUUGGAGGGUUUCCGCCCUUCAGUGCUGCAGCUAACGCAUUAAGCACUCCGCCUGGGGAGUACGGUCGCAAGACUGAAACUCAAAGGAAUUGACGGGGGCCCGCACAAGCGGUGGAGCAUGUGGUUUAAUUCGAAGCAACGCGAAGAACCUUACCAGGUCUUGACAUCUUCUGACAAUUCCAGAGAUGGAACGUUCCCUUCGGGGACAGAGUGACAGGUGGUGCAUGGUUGUCGUCAGCUCGAGUCGUGAGAUGUUGGGUUAAGUCCCGCAACGAGCGCAACCCUUAUUGUCAGUUGCCAUCAUUAAGUUGGGCACUCUGGCGAGACUGCCGGUGACAAACCGGAGGAAGGUGGGGAUGACGUCAAAUCAUCAUGCCCCUUAUGACCUGGGCUACACACGUGCUACAAUGGACGGUACAACGAGUCGCUAACUCGCGAGGGCAAGCUAAUCUCUUAAAGCCGUUCUCAGUUCGGAUUGCAGGCUGCAACUCGCCUGCAUGAAGUCGGAAUCGCUAGUAAUCGCGAAUCAGCAUGUCGCGGUGAGUACGUUCCCGGGCCUUGUACACACCGCCCGUCACACCAUGAGAGUUUGUAACACCCAAAGUCGGUGGGGUAACCUUUUGGAGCCAGCCGCCUAAGGUGGGACAGAUGAUUGGGGUGAAGUCGUAACAAGGUA
rnacentral:rRNA from 1 species